UACGUAGGGAGCGAGCGUUGUCCGGAUUCAUUGGGCGUAAAGAGCUCGUAGGCGGCUUGGCAAGUCGGGUGUGAAAACUCCAGGCUCAACCUGGAGACGCCACCCGAUACUGCCAUGGCUAGAGUCCGGUAGGGGACCACGGAAUUCCUGGUGUAGCGGUGAAAUGCGCAGAUAUCAGGAGGAACACCAAUAGCGAAGGCAGCUCGCUGGGACGUUACUGACACUGAGGCGCGAAAGCGUGGGGAGCGAACAGG
rnacentral:rRNA from 1 species